CACAGGUGCAGGUGAUUAGUUGGUCUCUAGAGUGAACCUUGAGCUGUGUGAGUGCCUGGUCUAAGCCGUGCUAUUUGGCGUUUUUAACUUUCUAUGACAGCUUGGUGUGGGUCCCAUAGCCUUCUGUUGGAGCGGAAGAAACCAUUGUUUUGUUCCUGUGGAGAAACGUGUAGCGGACUCCGCCACUGUUGGCCGAUAUUUGUAAGAGGGUGUCCCCAACUCGUAAACAGUUUUGUUUGGCUGAGGUUUGGUCACAUGCAGGACUCUAAGGCCAGAUGAGUCAUGUGACCUCUCCAGAGUCCUUGUUGGAGGCAUCCCAUCAUUUUCCGCUGAAUCACCGCAGCUCAUGCCUUUCGAAGCGAAGUGGUCCUGCUAGCCACUUUACACAGGAUCCUUGUGUCAAUGACCUACCUAUACAUGACUGAACUCCCUCACUGCACUGAAGAAACAAUUCAUAUUUUAAACUGGGCUGCAACAUGUUUCAGUAUACUAAAUGAUUUUCACUUCAGGAAUCAAAAGCAGAUGGUUUUUGCUUUAAACCCGUCAAACAAAGCAGAGAGGGCUAGCUAAAGUAUUCCUUAAUCCUAAUGGUGAAUGCUAAAAAUAAAGUCAUAGUAGGUUGUAACUGCAGUCCAGUUAUCCUUUAGGAGCCUCGUUACUAAAGUUGAACUGCAGCUUGAUGUUUAAAGGCUGUGCGAGUACAAAACUGUGUCAGAGGAUCCACUCGUUUGUGUUAUUUACACUGUUAUCUACUGUAGUGUGCUGGGCUAUUAUUUCUCUAUCCUACAGACACAAGCACUCAGGGUAGUGUGUGCAGGGUCGCUGUGUGGGUACAUUAAAGGAGACUCGAUUCAACAGAGUCUAACCACGAAACACUUCUGGCUCUCAACAGAAACAAUAAAGGAGCUCAUGUGGCAUACGGGACCAUUUGUUUUUGUCACAAGGCUUCUCAGCACCCUGCUAAUGUGCUUCCAGGAUGCUGUUACUGACUUUUCCCUCAAGGCGGAAAUCCAUCCUAAUUAUUCACAUUGUGAAAUGAGCUCUAUGGUGAAGACCUUCUCCCACGGUGUAUCCACUGUCACAUACAUCUUAAUAACUCACCUCCCUGAAAGCUGUAGUCAGUCUGCUGCACACGGCCACCAGCCCUUUGUACAGAAAGUACAUUAUGUGUACUGUGUGUGUAUACGUCUGUACACACGUACACGUGUGUGUGUGUGU